rnacentral:rRNA from 1 species
CAGCCGCCGCGGGAAUACGUAGGGUGCAAGCGUUAAUCGGAAUUACUGGGCGUAAAGCGUGCGCAGGCGGUUUGUUAAGACAGAUGUGAAAUCCCCGGGCUCAACCUGGGAACUGCAUUUGUGACUGGCAAGCUAGAGUCUGGCAGAGGGGGGUGGAAUUCCGCGUGUAGCAGUGAAAUGCGUAGAGAUCUGGAGGAAUACCGAUGGCGAAGGCAGCCAUCUGGCCUAAUACUGACGCUGAGGUACGAAAGCAUGGGGAGCAAACAGGAUUAGAUACCCCAGUAGUCCCUGUCUCUUAUAC